rnacentral:rRNA from 1 species
UACGUAGGGUCCGAGCGUUGUCCGGAAUUACUGGGCGUAAAGAGCUCGUAGGCGGUUUGUCGCGUCUGCUGUGAAAACUCAGGGCUUAACCCUGAGCCUGCAGUGGGUACGGGCAGACUAGAGUGUGGUAGGGGAGAUCGGAAUUCCUGGUGUAGCGGUGGAAUGCGCAGAUAUCAGGAGGAACACCGGUGGCGAAGGCGGAUCUCUGGGCCAUAACUGACGCUGAGGAGCGAAAGCAUGGGGAGCGAACAGG